rnacentral:rRNA from 1 species
GAUGAACGCUGGCGGCGUGCCUAAUACAUGCAAGUCGAGCGAACAGACGAGGAGCUUGCUCCUCUGACGUUAGCGGCGGACGGGUGAGUAACACGUGGAUAACCUACCUAUAAGACUGGGAUAACUUCGGGAAACCGGAGCUAAUACCGGAUAAUAUAUUGAACCGCAUGGUUCAAUAGUGAAAGACGGUUUUGCUGUCACUUAUAGAUGGAUCCGCGCCGCAUUAGCUAGUUGGUAAGGUAACGGCUUACCAAGGCAACGAUGCGUAGCCGACCUGAGAGGGUGAUCGGCCACACUGGAACUGAGACACGGUCCAGACUCCUACGGGAGGCAGCAGGAGGGAAUCUUCCGCAAGGGGCGAAAGCCUGACGGAGCAACGCCGCGUGAGUGAUGAAGGUCUUCGGAUCGUAAAACUCUGUUAUUAGGGAAGAACAAAUGUGUAAGUAACUAUGCACGUCUUGACGGUACCUAAUCAGAAAGCCACGGCUAACUACGU